AAUGGUUGACCUCAGAUCAGGUAGGAAUACCCGCUGAACUUAAGCAUAUCAAUAAGCGGAGGAAAAGAAACAACAGGGAUUGCUCAGUAACGGCGAGUGAAGCGGCAACAGCUCAAAUUUGAAAUCUGGCCUUACGGUCCGAGUUGUAAUUUGCAGAGGAUGUUUCUGGCAAGGUGCCUUCCGAGUUCCCUGGAACGGGACGCCAUAGAGGGUGAGAGCCCCGUCCGGUUGGUCGCCGCGCCUCUGUGAAACUCCUUCGACGAGUCGAGUAGUUUGGGAAUGCUGCUCUAAAUGGGAGGUAUACGUCUUCUAAAGCUAAAUAUUGGCCAGAGACCGAUAGCGCACAAGUAGAGUGAUCGAAAGAUGAAAAGCACUUUGAAAAGAGGGUUAAAAAGUACGUGAAAUUGUUGAAAGGGAAGCACUCAUGACCAGACUUGGGCCGGUUGAUCAUCCGCCGUUCUCGGCGGUGCACUCUGCCGGCCCAGGCCAGCAUCAGUUCGUCCCGGGGGAUAAAGGUUUCGGGAAUGUGGCUCCUCCGGGAGUGUUAUAGCCCGUUGCGUAAUACCCUGGGGUGGACUGAGGUUCGCGCAUUGCAAGGAUGCUGGCGUAAUGGUCUUCAGUGACCCGUCUUGAAACACGGACCAAGGAGUCGUCUUCGUAUGCGAGUGUUCGGGUGUCAAACCCCUACGCGUAAUGAAAGUGAACGUAGGAGAGAGCUUCGGCGCAUCUCCGACCGAUCCUGAUGUUCUCGGAUGGAUUUGAGUAAGAGCAUACGGGGCCGGACCCGAAAGAAGGUGAACUAUGCCUGUAUAGGGUGAAGCCAGAGGAAACUCUGGUGGAGGCUCGCAGCGGUUCUGACGUGCAAAUCGAUCGUCAAAUAUGGGCAUGGGGGCGAAAGACUAAUCGAACCUUC
rnacentral:rRNA from 1 species